rnacentral:misc_RNA from 1 species
GUCUGAUCUUAUUCUCGUCUUUCUUAGUCUUUAAUAUAAGUUUAUGAGCAGUAAAUUUCAGCUACAGCUGUUUUUUCAUAUAAUAUAAAUUAAGUAUGCACACAUGUCUAUUUGUUUCAUAUGUGAUUUGGAGGAUAUGAAAUUCCAGCUGCAUGCAUUAAGUGUUGUAUAUAUGUAGCUUCAAAUUGUUCAGAGAUUUGUUAACUGUGUGUGGUUUUGGACUUCUUGAUUGAAUAGGUGGUUU